GUUUCUACCGCGAUCACCCUGUCAGCCAUUCGAACCUUGACGAGCCAAGGGGCACCUGGAUCGACGAUGAUGGUACCCUCUGUUGCGUCAUGGGAGAUCACUUGUACAAAUACAACACCGCCAACAAAGAGAACAAACACAAUGACAAGGAUGAGGUUGGUGGCAGUUUCCUAACGUGGGAUCAGAAACUCCGGUUACCGCCGCCGCCGUCCGGCGACAAUCGCCAGUGGCGAAUCUAUGGGGGCUACCGCCCUACCCUACUCUCGCCUCGAGAUAUUGGGGCGCAAGAUCACGA
rnacentral:lncRNA from 1 species